GAUGAACGCUGGCGGUAUGCCUAACACAUGCAAGUCGUACGAGAGUUUUUAACUCAAGUGGCGGACGGGUGAGUAACACGUGAGAAUUUGCCUUUAGGAGGGGGACAACAACUGGAAACGGUUGCUAAUACCCCAUAUGCUUUCGAGUGAAAUGAAUUUAUUCGCCUAAAGAGAAGCUCGCGGCUGAUUAGCUUGUUGGUGGGGUAAGAGCCUACCAAGGCGACGAUCAGUAUCUGGUUUGAGAGGACGAUCAGACACACUGGAACUGAGACACGGUCCAGACUCCUACGGGAGGCAGCAGUGGGGAAUUUUCCGCAAUGGGCGAAAGCCUGACGGAGCAAUACCGCGUGAAGGAAGACGGCCUAUGGGUUGUAAACUUCUUUUUUCAGGGAGGAAUUCAAUGACGUGUACCUGAAGAAUAAGCAUCGGCUAACUCCGUGCCAGCAGCCGCGGUAAGACGGAGGAUGCAAGUGUUAUCCGGAAUCACUGGGCGUAAAGCGUCUGUAGGUUGUUAAACAAGUCAACUGUUAAAUCUUGAGGCUCAACUUCAAAAUCGCAGUCGAAACUGUUUGACUAGAGUAUAGUAGGGGUAAAGGGAAUUUCCAGUG
rnacentral:rRNA from 1 species